AACGAACGCUGGCGGCAUGCCUAACACAUGCAAGUCGAACGAGAUCUUCGGGUCUAGUGGCGCACGGGUGCGUAACGCGUGGGAACCUGCCCUUUGGUUCGGAGUAACAGUUGGAAACGACUGCUAAUACCGGAUGAUGACGAAAGUCCAAAGAUUUAUCGCCAGAGGAUGAGCCCGCGUAGGAUUAGCUAGUUGGUGUGGUAAAGGCGCACCAAGGCGACGAUCCUUAGCUGGUCUGAGAGGAUGAUCAGCCACACUGGGACUGAGACACGGCCCAGACACCUACGGGAGGCAGCAGUGGGGAAUAUUGGACAAUGGGCGAAAGACUGAUCCAGCAAUGCCGCGUGAGUGAUGAAGGCCUUAGGGUUGUAAAGCUCUUUUACCCGGGAUGAUAAUGACAGUACCGGGAGAAUAAGCUCCGGCUAACUCCGUGCCAGCCGCCGCAGUAA
rnacentral:rRNA from 1 species